UUCCUUUAGAGAUCAAACCAUGGAAUGGGUCGAGGUGGUGAAGCUUGAAGGAGAGCUUCAACCCCUCUCAUGGUAGAAUCCAAAUUAGGGUUUGGAUUGAACUAAAGAUGGUUUUUAUGAAGUCUCUAGAGUAGAUUGAAGCUUCUUUUGUUUCCUAAUGAGAUCAAACCCUAGGUUUGAUAUAUGUUAUGAGCUAGGGCACCCCAAAUUGGGGCUUUUGCUCGUGAUGUUUCUAAAGUGCAAUUGGCCCUCUAGAAACCUAAUUGGGGGUAUUUCCGACGCGUUGGUGCGGUCGGUUGGAGCAAACGAAAAGCCUACGCAAAGUUAUGACCAAAUAAGCCUAAUUUGGCUUCGUUAACUCACAGGUAGCGAGCCGGGUGUCUAAAAAUUCCAAGAAAAUCAUCGGAGCACCUUUGAGAACCUACGAGGUGGGUGGUGCUAUCCAAACUCGUUGAACUUCCUUCUAUACCUAAUGUGUCAUUCAAUUGAGCAUAUGUUAUAUACAUUGUUGCAUGCAUCGCAGGGUAUAUGUAAUGAGAAUAAUGUAAUGUUGCAUGUUGUGAGUACAAUUUGCCUAAUGAGAUGGUUGAGAACCCCUAUGAAUGUUUAACCCUAUAUGUAUGCAUUAGGUAAAAUGUGAGCACCUAAGUGAGGCAAAAGAACAAAGUGACACAAUGAGACAUAGAUCGAGUGGCAUUCGAUAAUGUAAAGUGAUGUGACACUAGAGUUAGUGUGGGACAAAGAAUCCAUGUGACGUAAAGGACAAUGAUAAAGGCUAAAGUUAAUGUAAAGUGUGGCAUUUGAGAACAAAGAAUAGAGAUAAUGCAAAGUGGGGCAUAAAGAACAUGUAAAGAGCAAAGAACAGUGAUUGCUAGAGUUAGCAAAAUAAAGAGAUGUAAAGAACACUAGAGUCAGUGUAAUGACAUGAUUGAACUUAUAAUCCUUAGAGUUAAGGAUUCGAUCAUACUUGCUAUGAGUUCCGUGCUCGAGGGCGGUCGCUCCCCCUCGGGCGAUGCGCUCCGGAGUUUUGCAUCACGGGUUGGAGUAAACCCGAGGACGGUCUUAGCGGGAGGAAGCUGAGGGCCCGCGAUGAUGGACUUAAUGUGGGCAAGUUAAUGUGGCGAAACCCCCGGGUUAGCCGUGAGAUUAAAGAACAAAGAACAAAGUUUAAAGAAUAAAGAGUAAAGAACAAAGAACUUGCAUACUUGCAUGAUUUACAUUGAGCAUACUUCCUGCUUUAUUGUUCAGGCAUAUUAGCAUCAUGAUUAUAGUUUGGUUACAAUUCUGCUUAUCCUUUCUAUUAUGCCUGAGUUAGUCCUAGUGGGAAAGUCGAUGAGAUUGGGGCCGAACCCACUGGAAACUUCGUUGUAGUUCUCACCCCACUAUUUUCACAGAGCCGGGAGCGAGCGAAACGGCGAGCGACCACGGUAAAGGUAUCGCACCUUAGUCAGAGGCCACCCGAGUUGGGUUAUUUACAUUUUGUAGUAGCAUUCCCUUUUAUCAUCUUUUGUAUUUGAUGAUUUAAGAUGUUAAUGUAUAAAGCAAAGAAAGAAAAGAUUGUAAAGUUUAUUUUGAGGCAAUGUGAUGUAAAAAGAAAUGAUGCAAGUGAUGUAAUGAAAGGUAAAGAAUCAUGAAUAUGAAGGUUAAAUGCAAUGUAUGUGAUCAAAAGAGAAUCAUAGUACUUGUGUAGAUGUUUAGUUUCCUU
rnacentral:lncRNA from 1 species